UCCAGAUCCUACCGCUUUAAGGGUCCAAGUGAAAAAGAUGUUUUGGCCACCACUGGGAAUCCGGAGCUCCAAAGGAGAAGAAGGGUAGCAUCCUACAAUACGUAUGCCAGGGAAUCUAAGUUCAAAUCCACCCUCCGCAACAGUUUCAACUUUCAAGUGGAUCAAAAGGAAGCUUAUGGUUGACUAUUAAGGUGUAUGAAAAAGCAACCUCUUCUUGAGUCCCUUCCCGUGAACACAAACUCGUAAAACUCUCCUCAACUUGAAGCAACUUGGAACUAUCGCAUUAACCGCGCUUGUAGAGAGAACGAAAUAAAGCUUAAUGUGCCAUAUAGGAUUAAAUUCGCGACCUCCCAUUGACAAAGAAAUUUAUUUACCAUCAAGCUACAAGGUCAUUGGCAAUGCGAGUUCUUCUGUGCUUAAAACCAUAGAAAAGGAAGAAUUUCUAACCGAGCUCAACGUUGAAUUUGAAAUCUUUAUAUCUGCCCAGAAAUUUUCCAUAUUUGUGGGCACUUAAAAUCAUUCAAAAGGAAGAAUUUCUGACCGAAGUCAAGGUAAGCACGACUUAAAUAGAUGUAUAUGGUAGACAACAUUUUCUAACCACCAUAGUACCAUACAUAAAUGCUCUAACUCUUUUAUUGUGGAAAAUGACACAGCUUCCAAGAGGGAAGAGUGACUCAAAUAAAUACCAAGAGAAAAGGCUAAAAAACAUAAACGCUUGGGUACAAUUUAGGCAAAUUAUUGCGAGAAUUAGAGUAGUAGUAAAGGAAUGGCAGAGCCUCACACUUGUGGAUCUUAUAAAAUUGGGACUCUUUCUUUUACAUUUCAUCUGGAGGGCACUUCAAGCGAUCUAUUCCUCAAUUUCGGUUACCCAACCUCUUGUUUAAUUUAAUGAGAUUAGGCAACUUGUCCGGAUCAAACCGAUAAUCCACGGCAGAAAAGGAAUGGCGAAAUUGAGCUGGGUCGCUGUCUUCCUUGCCACUCAUCAUGGCCUGCAAGUAGCUGCUGUGGUUCUUGAUGUUCUUGAGAGCAUUGGGAUGCGCUUCAGUCCUGGGAGAUCUUUUCUCACCUCUCGACACAAAUACUGGAGAGAGAGUCAGUGACGUAUUCAAGCUCCCUUCUGUUGUACAUUGUUUUGAGCUCGACGAUGUGCUGCUCACACUAUUCCCCGUUUCUAACCCACACAUGCUUCCUUCCUCGUUCUUCUUCUGUUACAAGGGCUACAUGAUUUCAGAUGGUAAAAUGACGCUCUUCAAAGAGAUUCUUAGAUAUACUGUCACAAGGCCUUUUAAGAUUAGACAAACCAAAGCUAUAUUUGUUUUAUUUGUGAUUAUCACAUCACAUAAACAGCAGUUGGCGGAAGGGGACACCUCUUUUGACGAUUCUGAAUUCCUCGCGAGCUGUGCAGCAGCAAUUUUAUUCUUUUCUGACUGACUCACGUUACUUGUCUGGGGCAUUUGUCCUUUCUUGGAAGACCUAUGCCUACGAAUAUCACGGAAAGCAACCAAGUCACAGACUAGAAGGAGCCUAGCACUCAACACCAUUUUCACGUAGUGAAAGAAAAAGGAUAUUUGACGUAAUGAGAAAAUAACUUACUUUUUGCGCCUUCUAGUAUGUGACCGCUCAUCCUUCUCUUUGUAUAUUACUGGUAGUGCUGAAAGAGGGCAUGGUAAAGGACUGGUCUUGAAGAACUGAAAGCACAAAAACCAAUUUAGCAUAUAAAUGUGAUGCAAAUGUUGCUUAUAUACUUAAGGAAACAAUGCGAAGAUUUCAGCAAUGAAUGAAGGAAUUCAUUUUUUAAAAGAUAAGGAAGAAGAAGGAAAGAGCUCACUUCAGCUUGGAGAGCAGAGGCAGCAGUGCCGCGAUAGUUAGGAUCAAGAUCGAGAAGCGUAGUUAAGAGGCCAACAGAAGAGGGAGGAAAAUCCCUGAAGGCUUCUUCAUAAUUAGGCUUGUAAUGUGGUGGCCGGUAACUUGUCAUCAGCUUCAAUUUCUUCCAGUAAUCCUCCGUUGGAGAACCACAUAGUUUGAAGAUCAUGUGCAGUUGUUCGACCUAACACCCAUUCCAUUCCAGCCCUAAAUCAUUAGGUAUAAAUAUUCCAAAAAUAUAGUUUUUUCAGUUAAGAAAAUUUGAAGCACCUCAGUCCUGCCAGGCAUGAUUGGCUUUCCAAAAAACAUCUCGGCCAAGAGGCAUCCAGCACUCCAGAGAUCGAUGGCGAAUCCAUAGUCAGUUGAACCCAAAAGUAAUUCAGGAGCUCUGUACCAGAGGGUGACCACUCGAUUGGUAAAAGGCCCUUUUGGUUUAAGAUCAAAAGAAUUUGCCAGCCCAAAAUCUGCAACUUUCAGCACCCCUUUCUUAUCUAUCAGCAAGUUUGAAGCCUUUAUGUCUCGGUGCAUCACUCCCCUCUCAUGGCAAUGCUGGAGUCCAGAAAGCAAUUGCUGCAUAUAGCACUUAAUCUGCAGCAAACACGACCAUCCACUCAAUCACAUGUUUGUCAGACAAGUUGCUUGAGAAUUCUUAAAACAUAAUCUUCCAACCUGCGGUUCGGUGAGUUUCUCCCCAGGGCGGGUGAUGACACGGGUAAGGUCGGACUGCAUGUAAUCAAAGACUAGGUAGAGACUGUACUGCAUCCUUGAGGUGGCUAUGCCUUCAAGCUUGAUGACAUUGGGAUGGUCCAGCUUCUGCAGAAUCAUGAUUUCUCUUGCCAUGAACUUUAUGCUUUCCGAAUCCGAUGUGUCAAAGCGGACCUUCUUCAUGGCAACAGUCUUUCCCGUUGCCUUAUCUCUGGCUUUGUACACGUUGCUGUAUGUUCCUCGUCCCACCUGGAACCCAAAUGCACCAAGCAUGUUCGUGAUGUUGCUGCAGGUUUUUUCUUGUAAUCAUAAGAGCGUAAAGCAUUAUCUUUGAUCAUAACCGGAAAAAAGGGAUUCCACAAAACACAGAAAUACCAUCUUGGUUAACGGAAAAAGGGUGAGGAAAAAUUGAAUAAAAUCUGUUAAUUUACGUUGCAUUUCCAAUGCAAGCAUGCAAACUUGGACGAGGAUGAUAAUGUCAACUGAUAUAGUUAGUACUUGGGAAUGAAGCAUGAAACAAUAAGAUGGAUAAAAGAAAUGUAUGUGUGAAGCAGCAAGUUUUGCAACAAGUGUAAGGAAUUACCUUGGCAAGCAUCUCAUAACAAUCAGCGCUCUUGGGAACCAGGGAGGCCAAAACUUGUGCAGGUACAUUAUCAACCAACCACUUAGGCCACGCCCCCACGGACACAUCUUUUCCAAUCUUAUUGUCCACAAAUCUCUUUCUUGAAACAUUACCACCCUCAUUCUUCUCUGCUCUAGCAACCACUCUUUCUCCGCCGGCUUCUUCUCUGACACCACCAUUCUCUGCUGUCCUUGAAGUUGAAAUCGUAUGUUGCAACUUGUUAUCGGGAGGUGGCCUCAGAUUAUUGCAGCUACGGCUCGUGGAUCUGGCUGCCCUGCUUUGAUUGCCAUGGCCAUUGUCCUCUUUCCGCCUCUCGUCUCGAGAGGGAGAAAGCUUGGCGUUUACGCAACCCAUGGCGACACAGAAGCAUGAGACAGAGAGGUUCUGGAUUGCUCGGAGAUGUGAAAGGCUGUUUUGGCCGGCUUGGUUUUGAUUCUUCAGGAUUGCUAUGUAACAGAAGCAUGGGAUGAUGCUUUCUCCGUCAAUUGACGAUUGAAGAGAUGAAUGGGAUGACUGUGUUUGGAUUAUUCCCCCAUAAUCAACAACAGAGACACUAUGUUGGUAACGAACCCGGCAGAUUUCAAAUUGUUUUCUGAAAUGACCGGCGCUACAUACGCCAAAAAGUUGAACGUCUAAACAAAUGCCUUAUCAUGCUACAGUUUGAUUCUGAAGUUCUGGACAAAUCUCAUUUGGCACAACCACCUAAUAAUAAGUUCACCCGAUUCGUCGCGGUGAUUAAAAAAUGCUCAAGGUGUGCCUCAAAGCUGCAUUUUCACUAUUUUCAAUGAUUUAUCUGUUUUGAGCUUAUUUUGUUGGUGCUGAUGGACUUAGAAAACCCUGAGAGGUCAUGCAGUUGAUUGAGAUUUAGUAGAAAGAGAGACGAAUCGAAUCGAUUUGUUUUACAGUAUAAAUCCAGGCAAACCAACCCAAAGAGAUUUAACUUUUCGGGGAAACUAACCACAUUUUGCUAUCAACAAAGUCUCUGAAAAUGGGACUUGCUAUCGAUAUGAUAUGACAUAGUAGUGUUGUUAUGUAUUCAGUCUGGGUGACUUGAACUU